CCUACGGGGGGCAGCAGUAGGGAAUCUUUCACAAUGGGCGAAAGCCUGAUGGAGCAACGCCGCGUGCAGGAUGAAGGCCUUCGGGUUGUAAACUGCUUUUAUAAGCGAGAAAUAUGAUGGUAACUUAUGAAUAAGGAUCGGCUAACUACGUGCCAGCAGCCGCGGUCAUACGUAGGAUCCGAGCAUUAUCCGGAGUGACUGGGUGUAAAGAGUUGCGUAGGUGGCAUAAUAAGUAGCUAGUGAAAUCUGGUGGCUCAACCAUUCAGACUAUUAGCUAAACUGGUAAGCUCGAGACCGUUAGGGGUAAGUGGAAUUUGUAGUGUAGGAGUGAAAUCCGUAGAUAUUACAAAGAACUCCAAUAGCGAAGGCAGGUUGCUGGGACGGUUCUGACACUAAGGCACGAAAGCGUAGGGAGCAAACGGGAUUAGAUACCCGUGUAGUC
rnacentral:rRNA from 1 species